AAUUAGCCCUGAUUGAAGAGAAAAUACUUGCUUUUUCUGCAAGUAUUGUAACGGAAAGCAGGAAAACGG
rnacentral:sRNA from 1 species